CGAUCAUGAUGUGGACAGUUUCCUUAGUAGGCCCUUGUAUCUCUCUCAUGCCUUAUAAAGGGACUCUCUAGCUUGUUGUUCAAAGUUGGAAAUAGCUUUCUUCAACUU